rnacentral:snRNA from 3 species
AUGUGUUACAGCUCUUUUAGAAUUUGUCUAGCAGGUUUUCCCCCACCCCC